rnacentral:misc_RNA from 1 species
GAUGAAGAACGCAGCGAAAUGCGAUAAGUAAUGUGAAUUGCAGAAUUCAGUGAAUCAUCGAAUCUUUGAACGCACAUUGCGCCCCCUGGUAUUCCGGGGGCAUGCCUGUUCGAGCGUCAUUUCACCACUCAAGCCUCGCUUGGUAUUGGGCAACGCGGUCCGCCGCGUGCCUCAAAUCGACCGGCUGGGUCUUCUGUCCCCUAAGCGUUGUGGAAACUAUUCGCUAAAGGGUGCUCGGGAGGCUACGCCGUAAAACAAACCCAUUUCUAAGGUUGACCUCGGAUCAGGUAGGGAUACCCGCUGAACUUAAGCAUAUCAAUAAGCGGAGGA